rnacentral:RNase_P_RNA from 1 species
GAAGUGGGCCGGGUAAUCGCCUUGCAGAAAUACUGCGGGGAGGAAAGUCCGGACUCCAUAGGGCAGGGUGCCUCGUAACACGAGGGCGGAGUGAUCCGACGGAAAGUGCCACAGAAAAGAAAACCCCUUGUUUAUUCGGGGAAAGCUGAAACGGUGAGGUAAGAGCGUCACCAGCACCGCUGUAAAGCGGUGGCUUGGCAAACCCCACCCGGAGCAAGACCAAAUAGGGGAGGAAUCGUGGCAGCUCGCUGCGUCAUAACUCCCGGGUUGGUCGCAUGACUUUAAUGGCGACAUUAAGGCAAGAUGAAUGAUUACCUAAUCCCGUCUUUGGCGGGACGGACAGAAUCCGGCUUACAGGCCCACUUCCAAA